AAAACACACCUACGGGAGGCAGCAGUGGGGAAUAUUGGACAAUGGGGGCAACCCUGAUCCAGCCAUGCCGCGUGAGUGAUGAAGGCCUUCGGGUUGUAAAGCUCUUUUGGCGGGGACGAUGAUGACGGUACCCGCAGAAUAAGCCCCGGCUAACUUCGUGCCAGCAGCCGCGGUAAGACGAAGGGGGCUAGCGUUGUUCGGAAUUACUGGGCGUAAAGCGAGUGUAGGUGGUUGUCAUAGUCAGGUGUGAAAGCCUUGAGCUCAACUCAAGAAAUGCACUUGAUACUGGGCGACUAGAGGACCGGAGAGGAUAGUGGAAUUCCCAGUGUAGUGGUGAAAU
rnacentral:rRNA from 1 species